rnacentral:tRNA from 1 species
GCGCGCGUGGCGGAAUUGGCAGACGCGCCAGCUUGAGGGGCUGGUGCCCGCAAGGGCGUGCUGGUUCAACUCCAGUCGCGCGCACCA